rnacentral:rRNA from 1 species
CGAACGAUUCUUGAGUAGCUUGCUAUUCAAGAAGAGUGGCGAACGGGUGAGUAACACGUGAGUAAUCUCCCCUCGAGUGAGGAAUAACCACGCGAAAGCGUGGCUAAUACCGCAUGAUACUCUGGAGCAUAAGCUUUCAGAGUCAAAGCCCUCGGGCGCUUAGGGAUGAGCUUGCGUCCAGAGCUAGUUGGUGGGGUAAUGGCCUACCAAGGUAAUGAUGGGUAGCCGGCCUGAGAGGGUGUACGGCCACACUGGAACUGCGACACGGUCCAGACUCCUACGGGAGGCAUGCAGUGGGGAAUUUUGCGCAAUGGGCGAAAGCCUGACGCAGCUGACGCCGCGUGGAGGAUUAAGGCCUUCGGGUUGUAAACUCCUGUCAGAGGUGAAGAAUACCCCUUAGGGGGUUUGACGGUAACCUCAGAGGAAGCCCCGGCUAACUCGUGCCAACAGUCCGCGGUAAUACGUAGGGGGGCAAACGUUGCUUGGAUUACUGGGGCGUUAAGGGUUGUGUAAGUGGCUAAUCAAGUUUGUUGAUCAAAUCUCGAGGCUCACCCUCG